AUCCAGCUGACGAGUCUUAAAUAGGACGAAACACGCGUCCUGGAU
rnacentral:hammerhead_ribozyme from 1 species